AGUGGCGCACGGGAGAGGAACACGUGGAUAAUCUUCCUUUUAGUGGGGAACAACUUUCCGAAAGGAAAGCUAAUACCGCAUAAGACCACAACGUCUACGGACGAAGGGGUUAAAGGUGGAACCUUCGGGUCUAUCGCUAAAAGAUGAGUCUGCGCUCGAUUAGCUAGUUGGCGGGGUAAUGGCCCACCAAGGCGACGAUCGAUAGCUGGUCUGAGAGGAUGACCAGCCUCACUGGAACUGAGACACGGUCCAGACUCCUACGGGAGGCAGCAGUAGGGAAUAUUGCACAAUGGGGGAAACCCUGAUGCAGCGACGCCGCGUGAGUGAUGAAGGCCUUCGGGUCGUAAAGCUCUGUUGUACGGGAAGAAAUGCUCAUAGCUAAUAUCUAUGAGUUUUGACGGUACCGUAUCAGAAAGGACCGGCUAACUUCGUGCCAGCAGCCGCGGUAAUACGAGGGGUCCUAGCGUUGUUCGGAAUCACUGGGCGUAAAGCGUAUGUAGGCGGGCUUUUAAGUCAGGUGUGAAAUCCCAUGGCUCAACCAUGGAAUUGCAUUUGAAACUGGAAGUCUUGAGUGUGGGAGAGAUUGGUAGAAUACCUGGUGUAGUGGUGAAAUACGUAGAUAUCAGGUGGAAUACCGGUGGCGAAGGCGGCCAAUUGGCCCAACACUGACGCUGAGAUACGAAAGCGUGGGGAUCAAACAGGAUUAGAUACCCUGUAGUCCACGCCGU
rnacentral:rRNA from 1 species